GACGAACGCUGGCGGCGUGCUUAACACAUGCAAGUCGAGCGGAGCGGCGAACGGGUGAGUAACGCGUGAGUAACUGUCCCCCUUUCUGGGAUUACAGAUGGAAACGGGUGCUAAUACCGGAUAGUGGGGGAUGAUUCGCGUCCUUUCAGCUUGUUGGUGGGGUAGUGGCAUACCAAGGCGACGAAGGGUAGCCGGGCUGCGAGGGGGACCGGCAAGGUUGGGCUGAGAUACGACCCAAACUCCUACGGGAGGCAGUAGUGGGGAAUAGUGCACAAUGGGGGAAACGAAGAUGCAGCAACGCCGCGUGGGGGAUGACGGCCUUGGGGUUGUAAACCACUUUCAGGCAUUACGCGGUAGUGGCAGAAGAAGCACCGGCUAACUACGUGCCAGCAGCCGCGGUAAUUC
rnacentral:rRNA from 1 species